rnacentral:lncRNA from 1 species
GUGAGGGGUGACCUUUGAGGUCAGAAAGUGUCAGAUCUCCCAGUGCUGUGGUUUUUAGGCAGUUGUGAGCUGUCCCAUGUGAAUGCUGGGAACCCAACUCAGGGCCUCUGCAAGAGAAGUACUGGCUCUUAACUGCUGAGCCUUCUCUUCUCAGCUCUUUGACUAGGACUUUGACUUUGACUUUCUGGGGCUGGGUCUUCAAAUUCACUAGUCUUCUGCCAUGUCUAAUAUGCCCUGAAUCAUAGUUAGUUGAUUUUAUUCAUCCCAAAAUUACAGCUUUCAUCUCCAAAAUUUUGUUUUUGAAAAUGUCCUAUAUGUCUGCUGUUCAAACAUGUAGGUCAUUACUAUAAUACUGUUUUAUGCCCCUUUCGGCUAAUUCAGCAUGAAUGUCCAUAUAAGGUCAUUUUCAUUUGAUUGACUGUUCUCAUUAUGGGUCAUUUUUCUAACUUCAUUAUGUACCCAACAAUCUUUAAUUAGAUACUAGGCAUAUUGCUAGACAUUCUUCUAUUUCUGUAAACAUUUCUGAGUUUUGUUCUGGGAUGCAAUUACGUUGCUUAGGAAAGUUUGGUCCUUUGGUCUUACAAUUUUGUCAUAGAGUUCAGCCUACAGCUCACUGCUCUGGGCGUGAUGCAGAGGCUGAAUACUAACCCUUUAAGGUUAAGACCUAGAUUAGCAAAAGGCUUCCUAGCUGGCCCUCGAGCACAUUUAACUCCAUUUCUGAUUUAAGAAAUAAAACACAUUUCAUUAAAAUUAUACUCCAAAAAAAAAUGAAGUGUGAGAAAUCAAGAACACUGAACAUUCCAACAACUCUGCUUGUGAGUAAAAGCGAUUUUGGAUUACCAACUGCCCUAUAGCAGUGCAUAAAAGUGUGAAUGAACAUAGUGCUUAAGACCUGGGUAUGAUGAACACACUUGACCGUACAGGCCCCUUAACCUGUCUAAGCCUGUGUUGACACCUGUAAAACACCAUGGUAUUUUACAAAGUAAUCUAGAAGACAGAAAACUGUUAGUCCCACCAAACUAAAAUAUGCUGAUAUCAAGAGAACUAUACAACUUCAUUAGAUACUAUUCCCUUUCCUGUCUCCUGCAGUUUCAAAGUGGUUUAAAAAAAAAAAUCAUCUAGGGCUGGAGAGAUGGCUUAGCGGUUAGGAGCACUGAUUUCUCUUCCAAAGGUCCUGAGUUCAAAUCCCAGAAACCACAUGGUGGCUCACAACCAUCCAUAUUGAGAUCUAAUGCCCUCUUCUGUGGUGUCUGAAGAGAGCUACAGUGUACUUACAUAUAAUAAAUAAAGAAAACUUUGGGCCAGAACAAGCAGGCUAGAGAGAGCAGGCCAGAGCAAGCAGGCUCAGAGAGAGAAGAAAAAGUGUCUGAAGACAGCUACAGUGUACUUACAUAUAAUAAAUAAAUAAAUAAAUUUUAACAAUUAUCUAGAGGGUGGAAAGGGAAAGGGUAGGUGAUGUGAUUCUAUUUUGAUUAAAAAUGUAUAAAAGGUAUAGGGGUGUAUGCUUUUAAUCCUAGCACUUGGGAGACAGAGGCAGGUAGACUUCUGAGUUCAAGGCAGGGCUACACAGAAAAACCCUCUGGAAAAACCUAAAUAAGUAAAUACAUAAGGGAAAAAAUGAAUCACCUGAAACAUUCACAACUUAAAAACUACAACUAUGGAGACUAUCUCAUAAGACACUUGCUUGGUUCCUUAUAGUUCAGCCAUUAGUGUGCAUGUGUAAACUUAUUAAUACCAGAUUCUAGAGUCGGUUGUUAUAAAUUAAAUAUUAAGAAUAAUACUAUUUCAAACAGAUUCCAAUACUAAAUUAAGUUCUACCUGCUUCAUGUAUAGACAUUGAGCAGGCACAAAGCAACAAGAAUUUAUUCUUAAACCUAUAGCUGACAGCAUAUUCUAAUGUUCUGAACAAAAUUACCUUUAGAGAACAAAACCGGGUAACUAGGCUUUCUUUAGAGUUUCCUUUUAGAAGUAUUUUAGAGUAUAGGAAUCUUAGGAGUCAGAAACCUCCUCUAAACAGUCCUGUGAUCUUAUUCUUCUAUCAAUGAAAGAAUCAUUUAAAAAUCAUUUUAUUCUAAAAAAUUUCCCUGACCACAGCUCUCUGCCUGAUGUGGACAAACAUUCCCCUUUGCUUUUUGGGAAACACGCACAGUUUUGCUUGUGUGUCUUUCUUAUGGUAAUAUGUUCAAUGUGAGAUCUGCCCUCUUAACAGACUACAGAAAUGUUCUUACUGUAUUCUGAGAAUUGGGGUACUUUAGAGUCACACCUCCUGCCAAAAGAAAGGACAACCAAGAGGGUACAGGCUGGUUAUUCUUCAGAGGUGUGGGUAGUGUUAUGAGGAUAGACAGGGAUGAGCUCUGUCUUAUUAUAAUUGAAAGGCGCUUGCUUUUGGAGGUUGGAUGCUGUGUGUAGCUUCUGCUACCCUGACUAAGCUCAGGGAACCGGCCGCAAUACUAGCCCCCACCCAGAGAAUAUUGGGUCCGUGGAUGAAAAACACACACACACAGUUGUUCAAUUUCAACUUGCCUUUUUGGCAAAAUUGCUGGGCGCUACUUAUCUCCUGCCUGGAGAAGCAUGUCCUUAUCAACACUCUUAGCUCCACACCUCUCCACCUGCCCUCAACUUGAGUUGCUCAGUUACAUUUAAUCACUGCUCAACAGCCCCAACUGCCCACCUGUAGAAGUGGCCUACGGCCACGCCACCUGAGAUCUCACAUGGCUGCUUGUCUUUCCUCUCUCCGAAGCAUGGUGACCUCUUCCUCUGCUUUCCUUGCAUCUGUUUCCUUGCUUGUGGAGACCACGAAGUCCUGCCUACUCCUUACACCCAGCAAUUGGCCCAUGGCUUCUUUACUGAUAGAUCAAGAACCAAUUGGGGAUCAGGACAUUAGCAUCAGACCCAUCCCUACACUUGGAUCCAUAUUUUACUUCAGGUGUUACCAUCAUUUGUCAAAGUGGGCCACACUCCCUUGAUGUUACAGCUGGGGGUGAAGACUAAUGUUAUUUUACAGCCAGACAGUUUGCCAAGCCGGGCUGAGUGUUAAAUGUCUGCAGUUUCAUCAGUUAGGAAGCUGAGGCAGGGGAUCAUGAUUUACAGGCCAGCCUUUGCUACAUGGUGAGACCUUGUCUC